rnacentral:lncRNA from 1 species
CUGGCUAAUAAUGUUGGAUGAGGUGGAGGAAUUGGGCUUCAGGAGGUGGGCCAGCCUCCAAACCUUCACAGAAAGUUGUGGAGGUGCCCUGAGAUGGCACCAGAAGUGGGUCCCGGGAGUCUAAAGGGAAGAACCAAGCCAGAAGUUUCACUGCACCAAGAAGCCAUUGUCUUCCAGGGAAAUCUACUGGUACCAAGGUGUGUCACAGUCCAUAUAUAUGGGCUGGCCAUGCAGCCAGAGGUUUCCAAAUGUGUUCCUGGGAACUGGACAUCACAGAGGUGUUCCAGGUGUAGUGGAAGGUGAGAGGGAUUAGAAGAAAGCACCAGAGCUCCCCUGUUCACCAGAGCAGCAACACACUUUUGAGUUUUCCACGGAAGAUUUGGAUUUUUUGGGUGUUUUUGUUGUUGUUGUUGUUGUUCGUUUGUUUGUUCAACUUUUAACAACAACAACAAAAAAACAACAUUAAAAAAACCCUUCUAGCUCUUUCUCAGUUUCUCGUUUUCAACAUCUUAUAAUUAUUGUUCCACUGUAUAUUGGCAUUGAGUGUUGUGGUGGAAAAAAUGAGCCCAAUCAGUGACAUUCUCUCCCUUUCUCUUUUGUCACACUAAUAGUGCCCAGCCUGGUUUCCAACUGCCUGGCUCAAGCAACUGUCUAGCCCCCUGAGUGCUGGGACUAUCUGGUGUGCUACCAAGCUCAAACUUACGUUCUCUUUUUUGUAAGUGACUUAAUUCUUUCUCCUGGAAGUCUAAAAGAUUAUUUUCUUUAAUGUUUCUAGUGUUUUCCUUUAUGGGAAUCUAAUUUUUAUUUUGGAGCAGUUUUCUUGAAUCAGUUCUUGA